rnacentral:lncRNA from 1 species
UAAUUCCGUCACUAUAGUAGAGAUGGAUGAAUGUUUUGUUUGACAAAACAUUGUUCUUUAUUAAAUCAAUGAUUGGAUUAUAGUAAUCUAAUUGAUUGUCUCUAUAGUAGAGAUGAUAUGGUAGUGUUAACUGUUUAGAAUACAACGAUGCUUAAAACCCAAAAGGUUGCAAGGUAGUGACUAAUCCCAACUAAAGUUGUGAUACCUCUGAAAACAUAAAUUACAAGUUAGUCAUAGAUGGAUACUUAGGAUCGUUAGAUCCGGAUCCAAUGCCUUCUUGUUAAAAUUGUAUAGAGGCAAAAUGUUUGAAUCUUCAUUCUUUUGGAAAGAAUAAAGAAUCACAAAGUUGUUGAGGUUAAUUCACUUAGAUGUUAGUGGCACUUGUCCACAACAUAAUACUACUCAUGUUGUAUGACAUUCACCGAAGAUCACCCUCAGUUGGACUAUAGUUUAUUUUAAAUAAACACAAGUCCGAAUACUUUGCAAAAGGUUUCAAAGAAUUCAAGAAAUGUAAGUUGAUGAGUAAGACGUCUAAAGUAUUUACAUCCUUAGAUUUGAUCCAAGGAAUGGUAACACUUUAGAAUAGUUUUCUUGAAAGAUAUCAAGGAAAGAAGCAUCAUAAGAUAAUAGAUUUCUCCAUUAGGAGAAGAACGAACUUGAAUAAGAUUUAGUUCGUUGGAUAUUAUCAAUUACCCAUAUAUAGGAUAUAUAUGCUUCUAAGACAAUAUGAUUGUCAAUUAGAAGAUCUUCCAAAAUUUUCAUGACUCCAUAAGAUGUAG